rnacentral:rRNA from 1 species
UACGUAGGUCCCGAGCGUUGUCCGGAUUUAUUGGGCGUAAAGCGAGCGCAGGUGGUUUAUUAAGUUUGGUGUAAAAGGCAGUGGCUCAACCAUUGUAUGCAUUGGAAACUGGUAGACUUGAGUGCAGGAGAGGAGAGUGGAAUUCCAUGUGUAGCGGUGAAAUGCGUAGAUAUAUGGAGGAACACCGGUGGCGAAAGCGGCUCUCUGGCCUGUAACUGACACUGAGGCUCGGAAGCGUGGGGAGCAAACAGG